GUUUACUAAGUGGUAGGAGAGCGUUCUAUUUGCGUCGAAGGUAUACCGGUAAGGAGUGCUGGAGCGAAUAGAAGUGAGCAUGCAGGCAUGAGUAGCGAUAAUUAAUGUGAGAAUCAUUAACGCCGUAAACCCAAGGUUUCCUACGCGAUGCUCGUCAUCGUAGGGUUAGUCGGGUCCUAAGUCGAGUCCGAAAGGGGUAGACGAUGGCAAAUUGGUUAAUAUUCCAAUACCAACAUUAGUGUGCGAUGGAAGGACGCUUAGGGCUAAGGGGGCUAGCGGAUGGAAGUGCUAGUCUAAGGUCGUAGGAGGUUAUACAGGCAAAUCCGUAUAACAAUACUCCGAGAACUGAAAGGCUUUUUGAAGUCUUUGGAUGGAUAGAAGAACCCCUGAUGCCGUCGAGCCAAGAAAAGUUUCUAAGUUUAGCUAAUGUUGCCCGUACCGUAAACCGACACAGGUGGGUGGGAUGAGUAUUCUAAGGCGCGUGGAAGAACUCUCUUUAAGGAACUCUGCAAAAUAGCACCGUAUCUUCGGUAUAAGGUGUGGUUAGCUUUGUAUUAGGAUUUACUCCGAAAGCAAGGAAACUUACAACAAAGAGUCCCUCCCGACUGUUUACCAAAAACACAGCACUCUGCUAACUCGUAAGAGGAUGUAUAGGGUGUGACGCCUGCCCGGUGCUCGAAGGUUAAUUGAUGGGGUUAGCAUUAGCGAAGCUCUUGAUCGAAGCCCGAGUAAACGGCGGCCGUAACUAUAACGGUCCUAAGGUAGCGAAAUUCCUUGUCGGUUAAAUACCGACCUGCAUGAAUGGCGUAACGAGAUGGGAGCUGUCUCAAAGAGGGAUCCAGUGAAAUUGUAGUGGAGGUGAAAAUUCCUCCUACCCGCGGCAAGACGGAAAGACCCCGUGGACCUUUACUACAGCUUGACACUGCUACUUGGAUAAGAAUGUGCAGGAUAGGUGGGAGGCUUUGAGUAUAUGACGCCAGUUGUAUAUGAGCCAUUGUUGAGAUACCACUCUUUCUUAUUUGGGUAGCUAACCAGCUUGAGUUAUCCUCAAGUGGGACAAUGUCUGGUGGGUAGUUUGACUGGGGCGGUCGCCUCCCAAAUAAUAACGGAGGCUUACAAAGGUUGGCUCAGAACGGUUGGAAAUCGUUCGUAGAGUAUAAAGGUAUAAGCCAGCUUAACUGCAAGACAUACAAGUCAAGCAGAGACGAAAGUCGGUCUUAGUGAUCCGGUGGUUCUGUGUGGAAGGGCCAUCGCUCAAAGGAUAAAAGGUACCCCGGGGAUAACAGGCUGAUCUCCCCCAAGAGCUCACAUCGACGGGGAGGUUUGGCACCUCGAUGUCGGCUCAUCGCAUCCUGGGGCUGGAGCAGGUCCCAAGGGUAUGGCUGUUCGCCAUUUAAAGCGGUACGCGAGCUGGGUUCAGAACGUCGUGAGACAGUUCGGUCCCUAUCUGCCGUGGGCGUAAGAAGAUUGAAGAGAUUUGACCCUAGUACGAGAGGACCGGGUUGAACAAACCACUGGUGUAGCUGUUGUUCUGCCAAGAGCAUCGCAGCGUAGCUAAGUUUGGAAAGGAUAAACGCUGAAAGCAUCUAAGCGUGAAGCCAACUCUAAGAUGAAUCUUCUCUAAGCUCUCUAGAAGACUACUAGUUUGAUAGGCUGGGUGUGUAAUGGAUGAAAGUCCUUUAGCUGACCAGUACUAAUAGAGCGUUUGGCUUAUCUUUAAUAAAGCAU
rnacentral:rRNA from 1 species